CGGUAGCAGGGAGAAAGCUUGCUUUCUCCGCUGACGAGCGGCGGACGGGUGAGUAAUGUCUGGGGAUCUGCCUGAUGGAGGGGGAUAACUACUGGAAACGGUAGCUAAUACCGCAUAACGUCGCAAGACCAAAGUGGGGGACCUUCGGGCCUCAUGCCAUCAGAUGAACCCAGAUGGGAUUAGCUAGUAGGUGGGGUAAUGGCUCACCUAGGCGACGAUCCCUAGCUGGUCUGAGAGGAUGACCAGCCACACUGGAACUGAGACACGGUCCAGACUCCUACGGGAGGCAGCAGUGGGGAAUAUUGCACAAUGGGCGCAAGCCUGAUGCAGCCAUGCCGCGUGUAUGAAGAAGGCCUUCGGGUUGUAAAGUACUUUCAGUAGGGAGGAAGGUGUGAGCGUUA
rnacentral:rRNA from 1 species